UACGUAGGGUGCGAGCGUUAAUCGGAAUUACUGGGCGUAAAGCGUGCGCAGGCGGUUCGUUAUGUCCGAUGUGAAAGCCCCGGGCUUAACCUGGGAAUGGCAUUUGGGACUGCAAGGCUUGAGUGCGGCAGAGGAGACUGGAAUUCCUGGUGUAGCAGUGAAAUGCGUAGAUAUCAGGAGGAAUACCGAUGGCGAAGGCAGGUCUCUGGGCUGACACUGACGCUCAUGCACGAAAGCGUGGGGAGCAAACAGG
rnacentral:rRNA from 1 species